GCCAAAACAGAUAUUAUUAAGCUCAUUUAUAUAUGAGGAAACUGAGGCACAGCAGAAUAAUGAUUUUUUUCAAGGACACCCAGGGGCAGAGGCAGGGGUCAAACUAAAGGUCCUAGUCCAGGCUCCUUCCCCAGGUGCCACUGGCAAUAGCAAAGCACAUGAGGUGCCUAUGAGUGACACAGUAUUGCUUCUCCUUGAUCAGGAGAAGUCAUACUUGACUGGUUGGGAUUGAGCUGCCUUCUUUGCCCUUCCCUCUGCUUCCCCAGGGUCUCCUCAGCCCAGUACACAUCCCAAGGCAGUGAGCGAGGCCCGAGGAGGCCCCGGCAUAGAGAGUCCUAGUCCUACUCAGCUGGUUCCAACCAUCUGAGCUCCUCCUGGCACUGGUCAGGGUGUGUCGAGCCUGUUAUAAUCUCAGUGGUGAUCCACAUGCUGCUGUGGCCUAAGUCGUUGUAUGCUGUCUCCCUAUUUUACAGAUACAUGAAGGACUGUGCUGAGAAGUCAAUAUGGACACAGUUCAGGUUGUCAUUGACAGUUAGGCACUUUACAGUUAGGCUAGUUUCAAACAAUUCUGUUAUCCCUGAAGAAUUCUUUUACCGCAUGUGAUUUAAAACCUUCCCAUAUCAAUUUUUUUGAAGGAAAAAUUUUGGUACUCAUUUAACUUGCCCACUUACCCAUGAUUAUGCUAAUCUGGGAUUCGAUGCAUGUGGGAUGUGAAUCAUCCCUUUGUCCAGUGUAUCCACGCUAUUUGUGCUGCCUGCCCGGUAGUCGUCGACUUGGUCUGCUCCCAACAUUCAGCCAUUGACAUCUUCCUGGCUCAAUGACCCAGGAUCACCAGAAACGGAUGAUUCUCCUGACAUACAGUCAGAAGGUCAACAGCCUAACGCUAUGUCACAGUGCCUACGUCAUUCACCUCAUUCAUCUCAUCACGCAGGCACUGUGUCCUCUCACAUCAGCACAAUAAGGAGGACGAAGAGCAACAGACAAAUGUGAACACAAAGAAAUCCACCUACCGCACGUGCAUCAUGUCACUGAAACCCACCGGACUGACGGAAACGUGUGGUCCAGGGGAUCAGGUAACAAGCGAGUGGGUGCUGGAUUCAAACCCAGGCCUGUUGGCCUCCAGCUUAUGUGGUUCCGGCUCGUUAAUUAUAAAACCCUGAGCAAAUGCAAAGGGUGAUGCUAGUGACUAUUGCCAAUGUCUGUCGAAAUGAAAUGCAGGCAUUUAUGUAAUUUUUACUUGUCAGAAAUGCCAGCCUUUUGGGUUUGCAGUUUUCUUCAAAGAUGUGCCUUAAAAACAUAAGCCAUCUUCCUUCCAUUGAUCAUACCUUCCUAACUCCGAAAUAAAUAAUGUUUUGAAAUAGUUGUUUUUUUAUGAUUAAAAAUAUUUUUAAUAUAGCUUACAUGUACAACUUGAUUUUAACUAUUUAUAUACCUAUGUAACCACCUAAAUCAAAUGAAAUAGUUGACUUUAAUUAACACAUGCUUAACUCUGAAAUCUGUCACAACCUGAAACUGGGUAAACAUCAUAUGGUCCCCAAAGAAAACAAACUCAUGUUUUUUUCCUAAAGUGUUUUUGUUUGUGAAAUUAAUAUAAAGGUAACUGCACUUUCCAAAACCUUCCAGCUUAUUUGCUGGAAGGUAUUUCCCAUGCUUCCUCUAAUGCAGUCCAGUCCUCAACACACGGAUGACCCCUUCCAGGUACUUUUCUUUCUUCCUGUAUCUGCCACUAGGGGGAUUCUCCCCUCACUCUCUUUUCCCUAAUCCCUGCUGUUUUACCAAGAGUAAUCUCAGGGUGGAGUAGGAGCUGGUUUCUAUACUGCUCAGGUUCCUCCUGGCUUUAGCAUCCCUGAAGACUCUUUUCUUCCUCCGUUCUCCUCUCUCAUCACUCCUUACCCCUUCCUAGAGCUUCACUCACUUUGACCUGCUCCUCUCCCGUAUCUCAGGCCAUGCCAUCCCUACCCCUGGGAUUUGGGGUGGAGGGGACCUGUCAACACACUCAUCAUUUUAUUUAUAUCACAUAUUUGUACAGGUCUCCUCUCAUCUUCUGGACCCAGACUGCAUCUCACCCAUAGUAAGUGGUUUUGUGACUGAGUGAAUCUUUACUUACUGCUGCUGGGGCUACAAGCAAAUUGGAGUUAUGGUUAUAGCCGUCAUGUUAACACAUUUUUCUGUCUGUUGUACAGUUCUCUAACACCUCUAUACUAUACAGUCAUGAGCCACACACAUAAUGAAGUUCAGUCAAUGAAGGACCACAUGCGCAAUGGUGGUCCCAUAAGAUUAUAUUACCAUAUUUUUACUGUGCCUUUUCUCUUUACAUAUACAAACACUUAUCAUUGUGUUACAGUUGCCCACACAAUUCAGUACAGUAAUGUGCUGCAGAGGUUUGUAGCCUAGAAGCAAUGGGGCCUACCAUAUAGCCUGGGUGUGUAGUAGGUUAAACCAUCUAGGUUUGUGUAAGCAUACUCUAUCUUAUUUGAACAAUGACAAAAUCGCCUAACACAUUUCUCAGGAUAUAUCUCCUUCAUUAAGAGGCACCUGACUGCAUUUUGGUAGAUGCUCUGGCUGUCUGGUGAGUAGCCUUUCAUGAGCUGAGACAUAGCUACCACAAACAACCCUGUGUACAUGGGAAGCCUACUGAGUUCCCUAUGAAUUACAGUAGAAGCUUUGGAAACACAGGAAACACAGCCUGCUCUUCAAGGGAGAAUAGUCACAGGGUUAACCUGACAACCUAAAAAGAAACAAAAAACAUGUUUUCCAACCAGAGUAGUGGUGACUAGUUGUCCUGUAUUUCCAACAAGGCCCCAAAGAAAAUUCCAAGGAUUAAGCCCAGAUGUUCAAAGGAAUGGAAUUAAUCACACUCAAAAAUGUUUUCAACUGUGAGUCUCAAAGUGGGGUAUCUGUCAUUAAUGGAUAAACACACUUUAAAGGUUGUAAAAUAUAUAAGAUUUAAGAACUCCAUUCUGCUGGCUUUGUGGUUUUAGUGACCAUAAAGUGAGUGGCACACACACAAAAAUAUUCAUCUUCAUCUGUUAAAACUACCUGGGAAUUUCCAUUUCAAAGAUGUUUUGUGAGACUAAAGGAUGUAUCUAGAGCACAGAGGCUUUGGCUUCUAAAUGGAUUAGUUUGUAUAAAGAACCAGUUCAGGACGGGGUCACAAAGGACAGUGUAAUUUAGUCUCUGUCUCAGCAGUUUCUAGGAAGUGCUGCUCAGCUACCAUUUUCUAGGGCAGAGCCUGCAGGAGGCAGGCAGAAAGGCUACUUUUCAAAUUCUCCAUCGUCUUAUUUUGACCUAAAUACUCCCUAGAGCAAGUG